rnacentral:rRNA from 1 species
AUGAACGCUGGCGGCGUGCUUAACACAUGCAAGUCGAACGAAGCAUUUAAGACAGAUUACUUCGGUUUGAAGUCUUUUAUGACUGAGUGGCGGGCGGGUGAGUAACGCGUGGGUAACCUGCCUCAUACAGGGGGAUAGCAGCUGGAAACGGCUGGUAAUACCGCAUAAGCGCACAGUACCACAUGGUACAGUGUGAAAAACUCCGGUGGUAUGAGAUGGACCCGCGUCUGAUUAGCUUGUUGGCGGGGUAACGGCCCACCAAGGCGACGAUCAGUAGCCGACCUGAGAGGGUGACCGGCCACAUUGGGACUGAGACACGGCCCAGACUCCUACGGGAGGCAGCAGUGGGGAAUAUUGCACAAUGGAGGAAACUCUGAUGCAGCGACGCCGCGUGAGUGAAGAAGUAGUUCGCUAUGUAAAGCUCUAUCAGCAGGGAAGAUAGUGACGGUACCUGACUAAGAAGCUCCGGCUAAAUACGUG